rnacentral:rRNA from 1 species
AACGAACGCUGGCGGCAUGCCUAACACAUGCAAGUCGAACGAAGGCUUCGGCUUUAGUGGCGCACGGGUGCGUAACGCGUGGGAAUCUGCCCCUCGGUUCGGAAUAACAGUUAGAAAUGACUGCUAAUACCGGAUGAUGACUUCGGUCCAAAGAUUUAUCGCCGAGGGAUGAGCCCGCGUAAGAUUAGGUAGUUGGUGGGGUAAAGGCCUACCAAGCCGACGAUCUUUAGCUGGUCUGAGAGGAUGAUCAGCCACACUGGGACUGAGACACGGCCCAGACUCCUACGGGAGGCAGCAGUGGGGAAUAUUGGACAAUGGGCGAAAGCCUGAUCCAGCAAUGCCGCGUGAGUGAUGAAGGCCUUAGGGUUGUAAAGCUCUUUUACCAGGGAUGAUAAUGACAGUACCUGGAGAAUAAGCUCCGGCUAACUCCGUGCCAGCAGCCGCCGCGG